GAAUCACGCGGCCGCCUGGCCGUUCCUCAAGCCUGUGGACAAAGCUGAAGUACCGGAUUAUUACGACCACAUCAAAUACCCAAUGGAUCUGCGAACGAUGGGCGAGCGACUAAAGUCGCGAUACUACGUGUCCAAGCGGCUGUUCAUCGCCGACAUGACGAGGAUAUUCACAAACUGCCGGCUGUACAACUCGCCGGACACUGAUUACUAUAGAUGCGCGAACACCUUAGAGAAAUAUUUCCAGACCAAGGUGAAGGAGGCCGGCCUGUGGGACAAAUGAUCCAAGUUCAAUUUCGACGAGUUCUUCGUGAGAGAAGUCGCGGGCUACAUAGCACAAAAUUGAUAAUUGUUGAAACUAGAUAAUUUUUUUUAGCCGUCUUAUUGAGACUGAUUUUUCUUUUACUGUUAAAUAAUGUUUCUCAUUUGACUAUUAAUUCUUCCACACUAUUGUACUUUUUAUAAAUGUCAAAAUCUGUUAGACUUUCACGACUAAAAUGCUAGAUCCAUUUAAUUGUUUUUUUUUUAAAGAUGUUUAAUAUUCUGAAGUCAAACAAGUUGCUUUUUCUGAAAAAUGGGUAAUCCGCGGGAAUGGGGCUUUCGGGAUUUUUUUUAAACCCGGGCGGAGCUAUUGGCAAAAGCUAGUGUAAAAUAUAGCUAGUAGAUCUUUGCUGUGUGAGUUCCGGUAGCGCAGAAUACACUUCUCUUUGUGUAGUUGUAAAGAACGACUGAAGCGCAAAAUAAUUUCUAAGCCACAUUGGUGUCCAUAAACUAUACCACAACCUUUCACUAAGGCAUUGAAACUAACAACUGAAAAUGCUGUAUGCUAUCACUAAAAGAUAAUGACCACCGAUAAUGUUAACCGAUUCCUGUUCAUGAAAUAUAACAAUAGUUUUAACAAUUGAUUUGUUUGUAUGUGAUUCAUCGGACAGGGAACGUGUUAUAGCUGUAAAAUAGCUAUGUUGGAAAAGAGGUGUUAUAUAUUAAUAAGAAUUAAGCAUAAUUUAGAUAAUUUUUUUUGCUUGUGAUAUAUAGGGAAAGUAUUUUAUUAUUUGUAUUCUAAAGGAACGAUGAUAGUCGUAUGGAGAGGGAAUACACCGUGAGGAAACAUGGCACACUUAAACUGCUGAAUGUGUCACCAAGUUGAAAUAUGGUUGCGGAGGUCAGGCGGGAGUCGCUUCAUGUAUCCUGACUUAACCAAUCCAGGAUCUUGAUUAAUGACGCACCCUGGGUUCCUUUCCAGGGUAGUGAGGAUGUAACCUCAAAUCAAAAAGUUUAAAAAUACAGUAAUUUACGAUUUGUGAUUGUAUUGUAAUGGGAUUACAUUGCGUUUAGAUUAAGUUUACACGAAUUUCCUUUGCUACCAAGUCGGUGCUGUCAUAAUAUGUAUACGCAUUUUGUCUUCUUUUAAAGUUAAAAUAAAGACAGUAAGAAGCUAAAUAAAUCAUUAAAUAAAAUGGGUUCCGAUUUUUGUCUUAUAUUGUUACACCAAAACGUCAUGUAAGUUACUAAAAUGUAAUUAUUAUGCUGAAUCACAAUCAACUCGUGUUAUGUCGAGUAUUUACGUACUGAAUGUACAUAGCUUUGGAAUAUAUUUUUUUCAAAAAAUUCUUGUUUUUCAUUUCCUCUUCUAGCCUUUUGCACAGAAAUAUGAUUUUAGAUACUUACAUACAAAAGGCACACCCCGGGCUUGUUUGAAUUAUUUAUGGCGCGAAAACAUGAUUGGUUGAGCCUAUGAGGGUGGGCCAUUACUCGCGAACUGUUCGCUAUUAAAGCAGGAGACAUGUUGUUUUUGGAUUUAAGUGUCUUAAUAAUAAGGUCGUUAUUUUAUUGAGUUUUCAUUCGAUUUGAUUCACCGGUGAUUUGGUUCACUAGAUAAUUUGGGGUAAUUUCCACAAAGGUUGUAUAUGGUAGUAGGUAGGUGAGAGAAUAAAAAACAAAUUUAAAUACUGUUUUGGUUUUUAUUUCAACACUUGUUGUACACACGAACCACGAUACAGAACGUUUCGCAAGGGAAUGUAAAUAUCUUUAUUAUCUGUAAUUAUAAAGUACAUACCAGUCUCCUUGUUAAUAUAAAAUCCGGUCGGACUUAUCUUAGGUGUACUGUAAGUAAUAACUUAAAUGCUCACUUAACAUACUAAAUAAUAUUGUUACUUAA
rnacentral:lncRNA from 1 species